rnacentral:rRNA from 1 species
GAUCAUGGCUCAGGAUGAACGCUAGCUACAGGCUUAACACAUGCAAGUCGAGGGGCAGCAUGACGAUAGCUUGCUAUUGUCGAUGGCGACCGGCGCACGGGUGAGUAACGCGUAUCCAACCUUCCCGUUGCUAGGGGAUAACCUUGCGAAAGUAAGACUAAUACCCUAUGAAGUUCUUCGCAGGCAUCUAAAGAGAACCAAAGAUUUAUCGGCAACGGAUGGGGAUGCGU